AUUCCAGCUCCAAUAGCGUAUACUAAAGUUGUUGCAGUUAAAAAGCUCGUAGUUGAAUUUCUGGUCGUGGCGACCGGUCCGCCCCUCACGGGGUGUGCACCUGGUCUCUGCGUCCAUCCUCGGGGAGAGCGUAUCUGGCAUUCAGUUGUCGGGUGCGGGAUCCUCGUCAUUUACUGUGAGCAAAAUAGAGUGUUCAAAGCAGGCUUAGGCCGUUGAAUACAUUAGCAUGGAAUAAUAAGAUAGGACCUUGGUCUAUUUUGUUGGUUUGCAUUCCAAGGUAAUGAUUAAUAGGGAUAGUUGGGGGUAUUCGUAUUCAAUUGUCAGAGGUGAAAUUCUUGGAUUUAUGGAAGACGAACUACUGCGAAAGCAUUUACCAAGGAUGUUUUCAUCA
rnacentral:rRNA from 1 species